UACGUAGGGUGCAAGCGUUAAUCGGAAUUACUGGGCGUAAAGCGUGCGCAGGCGGUGAUGUAAGACAGAUGUGAAAUCCCCGGGCUCAACCUGGGAACUGCAUUUGUGACUGCAUCGCUGGAGUGCGGCAGAGGGGGGUGGAAUUCCGCGUGUAGCAGUGAAAUGCGUAGAGAUGCGGAGGAACACCGAUGGCGAAGGCAGCCCCCUGGGUCGACACUGACGCUCAGGCACGAAAGCGUGGGGAGCAAACAGG
rnacentral:rRNA from 1 species